rnacentral:tRNA from 14 species
GGGCCAGACUUCAAACCCGUGGCGACGACGAG